GACGAACGCUGGCGGCGUGCUUAACACAUGCAAGUCGAACGGAGUGGCGAACGGGUGAGUAUUACGUGAGUAACCUGCCCUCAAAUGUGGGAUAAGCCUGGGAAACUGGGUCUAAUACUGCAUAGUUGGGGAUGGGCUCGCGGCCUAUCAGCUUGUUGGUGGGGUUUUGGCCUACAAAGGCGGUGAGGGGUUGCCGGCCUGAGAGGGUGGUCGGCAACAUGGGGAGUGAGAUACGGCUCAGACUCCUAUGGGGGGGAGCGGUGGGGGAUAUUGCACAAGGUGCGCGAGCCUGAUGCGGCGACGCCGCGUGAGGGAUGAAGGCUUUCGGGUUGUAAACCUCUUUCGGUACAGAUCGGGUAUGUGCAGAAGAAGCGCCGGCUAACUACGUGCCAGCAGCCGCGGUAAUAC
rnacentral:rRNA from 1 species